AUUGAACGCUGGCGGCAUGCCUUACACAUGCAAGUCGAACGGCAGCACGGGAGCUUGCUCCUGGUGGCGAGUGGCGAACGGGUGAGUAAUACAUCGGAACGUACCCUGAAGUGGGGGAUAACGUAGCGAAAGUUACGCUAAUACCGCAUAUUCUGUGAGCAGGAAAGAGGGGGAUCGCAAGACCUCUUGCUUUAGGAGCGGCCGAUGUCGGAUUAGCUAGUUGGUGAGGUAAAGGCUCACCAAGGCGACGAUCCGUAGCGGGUCUGAGAGGAUGAUCCGCCACACUGGGACUGAGACACGGCCCAGACUCCUACGGGAGGCAGCAGUGGGGAAUUUUGGGCAAUGGGCGCAAGCCUGAUCCAGCCAUGCCGCGUGAGUGAAGAAGGCCUUCGGGUUGUAAAGCUCUUUCGGUGGGUAGAAUGCUUCGGUAAUACCUGGAGUAGAUGAC
rnacentral:rRNA from 1 species